rnacentral:rRNA from 1 species
AACGAACGCUGGCGGCAGGCCUAACACAUGCAAGUCGAACGCUCCAGCAAUGGAGAGUGGCAGACGGGUGAGUAACGCGUGGGAACCUUCCCUAUGGUUCGGAAUAGCUCAGGGAAACUUGAGGUAAUACCGGAUAAGCCCUUCGGGGGAAGGAUUAUCGCCAUUGGAUGGGCCCGCGUAGGAUUAGCUAGUUGGUGAGGUAACGGCUCACCAAGGCGACGAUCCUUAGCUGGUCUGAGAGGAUGAUCAGCCACACUGGGACUGAGACACGGCCCAGACUCCUACGGGAGGCAGCAGUGGGGAAUAUUGGACAAUGGGCGCAAGCCUGAUCCAGCCAUGCCGCGUGAGUGACGAAGGCCUUAGGGUUGUAAAG